rnacentral:rRNA from 1 species
AUUGAACGCUGGCGGCAGGCCUAACACAUGCAAGUCGAACGAGUGGCGGACGGGUGAGUAAUGUCUGGGAAACUGCCUGAUGGAGGGGGAUAACUACUGGAAACGGUAGCUAAUACCGCAUACCAUCAGAUGUGCCCAGAUGGGAUUAGCUAGUAGGUGGGGUAACGGCUCACCGAGGCGACGAUCCCUAGCUGGUCUGAGAGGAUGACCGGCCACACUGGAACUGAGACACGGUCCAGACUCCUACGGGAGGCAGCAGUGGGGAAUAUUGCACAAUGGGCGCAAGCCUGAUGCAGCCAUGCCGCGUGUAUGAAGAAGGCCUUCGGGUUGUAAAGUACUGUCAGCGGGGAGGCGUUACCCGCAGAAGAAGCACCGGCUAACUCCGUGCCAGCAGCCGCGGUAAUUC